CUCUCCUGCUCUGCCAUGGGAAGAUGUGCCUACUUCCCCUUUGCCUUCCACCGUGACUGUACAUUUCCUGAGGACUCCCUAGCCAUGCUUUCUGUACAGCCUGCUGAACUCUCUGCCCAAAUUUCAGCUGUCACAGAAUGAGUGAUCCUCAUAGUAUAAUGGAAAUGCAUCAUCUCAGUUUCCCCAUGGCCUGAAUGUCCAUACAAAAUGAGAGCCAGUAGAGAAAAACAGAGGACGUGAGGAGUUUUUAAAAAUUGAGGAAAAGUGGAAGGAAAAGUAAGGAUGAAGGUGAAGAUGAAGGAAUAUGUCAGAGAUGCUAGCACUGGCAUCCCCCACCACACAGUACCAUGUACUGCUAAAGAACUCUAGAACAUACAGGGUGUAGACGGCAGUCUUCUUGGGGAAAAAGAGGCUUCAGGAUUGCAAGAUUUCAGCUACUGUCUCUCCUCGGAGCAGGAUUCCAUCUUUUCCAUGGCUGGGGCCCUUGACACAUGUCACUGUGCACUGCUCUUCUCGCUGGGAUUUCCAAAAGACCUUGGCUCAGGUGUCACUUUUGCAGAAAAGCAUUUACUGACUGUUGACUUGGCCAAAUCCCUGUGCUGUGUUUCCUAGUACGCCACACCCUUGGGACUGCAGCCCUGUGAAGACUGAGGUUCUGACGAAAGUCAAGAAAAAUCUGCAUUGCAACUCUUCGAAGAGAAGAAUGUGACAUCUUGUGUCGUUUUCCAGAGGCAGCUGCAUAAAUCACAGGAGACUGAAUACAGGAGAAGAUGUAAGAAUCCAGUCAGCUUCUAUCAAACCAGACAUAAAAGACAUUUGCAGAUAUGUAAAACAAUGCCACUCUUCACAUUGCAUUUUUAAAAAAUAUUAUUUCCCAGAAAAUAUAUCAUCUAUGUUAAUAUGGAAUGGGGUUUGUUAUUCUUAUUUUAAGUAAGGUAUUAUAUAAAUAUUUUUAAUGUCUCAGUUUUAAUUUCUAAUGAAGUCAAUAUCAAUAGAUGUAAUCUAUAUAAACCAAAGUUCUCCGGGGUCUUCAAGAGUGUAAAGGAGUCCUGAGAUCAAAAGGGAUGAAAACCUCUGCCCUACCCUGGCCACCUAAGGGGCUGAAGCCCUCCAGGAGCAGUGCUCCCGGCUCUUGCUGCUGCCCCAGAGCUGAGGGUUUUGGAGCACUGGUGCCCUACAAAACGGAGAGACUGGAAGGAGUUUUCUGGGUCAUGAGGUUGGAACUGCUGGCAGAAGAUCACAGCAUAACUUUCUUCUGGGUUAUAGGAAGAAAUAUAUAAGUAGA
rnacentral:lncRNA from 1 species